ensembl:misc_RNA 7SK 7SK RNA
GGAUGUGAGGGCAAUCUGGUUGCGACAUCUGUCACCCCAUUGAUCGCCAGGGUUGAUUCGGCUGAUCUGGCUGGCUAGGCGGGUGUCCCCUUCCUCCCUCACCUCUCCAUGUGUGUCCCUCCCGAAGCUGCACACUCGGUCGAAGAGGACGACCAUGCCCGCUAGAGGAGGACUGGUCUUUGGUCAAGGUAUAUGAGUAGCUGCGCUCCCCUGCUAGAACCUCCAAACAAGCUCUCAAGGUCCAAUGCGCUCCAUGUGGGUAACAGAGUCCCAAGGGUUUGAGCCAUUCUCUACUGCUUUUCCAGGCCAAGAGCAGAAAGC